rnacentral:lncRNA from 1 species
GUCCCAACAAACUUAUUCACACAGAGGUGCUGGGAAAGACUGUGGGGCAUCUGCUAAGGAAGGGGAUGGUCCCAUUUUAAUGGAAGAAACUACAGAGGGUAGUAGAGGGUACCCCAAGGAUGAGGCUCCAAAGCUGGUGUUUCAGGGCCUCAGACUUAGUUGCACAGGGACCAGAACCGGACCCAGGAUUUCCCUGACACAGAGAACUCCUAGAACAGAGGUGUCAGUCAUGCAGCCCAAGUGAAGAUACAGCCCACAACAUUCCCAAGAAAAUGUAAUCGAGAAAUAAAAAAAUACAAGACAGAUA